rnacentral:tRNA from 1 species
GAGGGCGUAGCUCAGUUAGGUAGAGCAACGGCCUUUUAAGCCGUGGGUCGAGAGUUCGAUUCUCUCCGCCCUCA